AGUGAACGCUGGCGGCAGGCCUAACACAUGCAAGUCGAGCGGCAGCGCGUCCGACCACCCUCGGGUGGUCGGAUGGCGGCGAGCGGCGGACGGGUGAGGAAUGCAUCGGAAUCUGCCUCGUUGUGGGGGAUAACGUAGGGAAACUUACGCUAAUACCGCAUACGACCUACGGGUGAAAGUGGGGGACCUUCGGGCCUCACGCGAUGAGAUGAGCCGAUGCCGGAUUAGCUAGUUGGCGGGGUAAAGGCCCACCAAGGCGACGAUCCGUAGCUGGUCUGAGAGGAUGAUCAGCCACACUGGAACUGAGACACGGUCCAGACUCCUACGGGAGGCAGCAGUGGGGAAUAUUGGACAAUGGGCGAAAGCCUGAUCCAGCGAUGCCGCGUGAGUGAUGAAGGCCUUAGGGUUGUAAAGCUCUUUUACCAGGGAUGAUAAUGACAGUACCUGGAGAAUAAGCUCCGGCUAACUCCGUGCCAGCAGCCGUACGG
rnacentral:rRNA from 1 species